AAUAGAUACCCAGGUAGUCCACGCCCUAAACGAUGCAUAUUUGGUGUGGGCAGUUCAGUCUGUCCGUGCCGGAGCUAACGCGUUAAAUAUGCCGCCUGGAGAGUACAGUCGCAAGGCUGAAACUCAAAGGAAUUGACGGGGGCCCGCACAAGCGGUGGAGCAUGUGGUUCAAUUCGACGCAACGCGAAGAACCUUACCUGGGCUCGAACGGCUGGUCAACGGCGGUGGAAACAUCGCUACCCCGCAAGGGGGUCCAGUCGAGGUGCUGCAUGGCUGUCGUCAGCUCGUGUCGUGAGAUGUUGGGUUAAGUCCCGCAACGAGCGCAACCCUUGUCCUGUGUUGCCAUCAUUCAGUUGGGAACUCGCAGGAGACCGCCAGGGGAUAACCUGGAGGAAGGUGGGGAUGACGUCAAGUCCUCAUGGCCUUUAUGUCCAGGGCUACACACGUGCUACAAUGGACGGUACAAACCGCAGCGAACCCGCGAGGGGGAGCCAAUCGGAAAAAACCGUUCUCAGUUCGGAUUGCAGGCUG
rnacentral:rRNA from 1 species